CCGCGGACUCCCCUCCCGGGGGUGAACAAUCGGCCGGCCCCUGGCCAGGCCGUCCUGGGGUUGGCACCACCACCGACCCCCUGACCAAGGGCCUGGCGUGACCCCGGGGAGGAGAAGGGGGUCUCGGUCUCUUCCCACCGUCUGCCCCGAGAAACAUUUAACUGGCCUUUAAUCACAUUAGCAGCCGGCCCCAAUUAAGGCCGCGGGCGGGGGAGGCAGGGGAAACCGCCGGCCGUGUCACUUGAGGAUAAAGGUCCUUUAUGCCCCAGGCCUGGCCUGGGGCGACGCGGCGGGCCGCCGUCCCCAGCCUUUGAUUGCAGGCGCCUGGGCCUCGCCGCCGCCGCCAUCUCUUUGCCCCUUCAAACUAUCCCCGCCCCCGAUCCCCCUCCCCUGCCCCCACUGUGCCAUCGCCCUCGGGUGACCCGGUGGCCGGGCAGGACAGCGACCCAGGCCCGGACUCGAGCCCGCGCCCCCACGCCGGCCUGGACGGGCCCUCCUCCGGCCUGGGCCUGCGCCUGCGCGCUGGGAGCGCUCGAAGGGGCGGCUGCGGGGCUCACCGAGAGCCCUCGGGACGCGCCGCCUGCCCGCCGACGCCCAGCUCCCGGUCGGGACCCUGACCAUGAUGGACAGAGAAAAGCACCUUCCUUACGUGAAAAGUAUCAACUCGUUUCUGCUCUUCAGCAUUGUGGAGAAGGUUCUUUAACAGCUGCAGAAAAAUCAAGAAGACCCACAGGCAAAUUUCGAAGAAUGCAUGGCUAAUUUACAAACAAGGGGGAAACAGAACGUUGAGAAACUCAGCGGCUCCAAAGACUGCAGUAGAUGGGAAACAAUUGGGAAAGCGGCCUCCGCGGUGAGUGCCAGUCCUGUUUGCUUUUCGGUGGUGAUUUCUGAGGAUUAAUUUUGAGAGGGAAGAGGGACUUUACUCCUGUGUGUAGGAUGGCUCUCCAUCAUGAACCGUUGUUUUAACGGACUAAAGAAUUUGUUUGGCACACACUUGCUCAGAACCCAAGGGAAAAAAGCCAAGUUCCCUUGAGGCUGUCAGCCCCGGAGGACAGGAGUCAGUUUGAAACGUCUUAGCUUUAAGAAGGUGGCAGAAUUACAUAAUUAUUCACAACUCAUAAGAAAUUAAAAUACCUCUUCCAAAUAUGAAGUUGUGAGAUA
rnacentral:lncRNA from 1 species